rnacentral:rRNA from 1 species
UACGUAGGGCGCAAGCGUUGUCCGGAAUUAUUGGGCGUAAAGGGUGCGUAGGUGGCUUGGUAAGUCGGAUGUGAAAUCCCGGGGCUCAACCCCGGAACUGCAUUCGAUACUGCCAGGCUGGAGUACUGGAGAGGAGAUUGGAAUUUACGGUGUAGCAGUGAAAUGCGUAGAUAUCGUAAGGAAGACCAGUGGCGAAGGCGGAUCUCUGGACAGUUACUGACACUGAGGCACGAAGGCCAGGGGAGCAAACGGG